rnacentral:lncRNA from 1 species
GUACAUCGAUGAGAGGUGGUUGGAUGGAUUACACUAAUGGAGUCUAGCUUUAUCCAAAGAUAAUUAAGCCUAUCAUCUUCCUUUUCUCUUCCUGUAAAAUCCCUCCUCCCUCAGUCGAUUACCACUACUGAAGCCUUCCCGGCUUCCUCUUUCUUCUUCCCCAUCUCCAGUGGUUAUCAUGCCACUCUCUGAGCAUCGUCACCCCCUAACAUCCAGAUCUUCUUCCGUGCCUUUUUUCUUUUUUUUGGGAACUACCAUCAUCACCAUCGAAAUCUGCCCCAUCCGAUCGAGCCAAGCUGUCACCACCAUCUCCAGUAAGCCUCCUUUCCUCUCUUUUCUUUUUGGAUUUGAGUACGAUCGUCAUGGCACAAGAGGAGAGUAUCCUUUUUCUUCUUUACUUUCAGAUCCUCUCUCGCCACUGGUUGGAUCGCUGCCUUUAGAUAUCGCCGUGCCACCACCACCGACCACUCUGGUUGUCUCACUGCCAACCCCCACCCUCCUAUCGUCUCU